GAACUGCGAUAAGUAAUGUGAAUUGCAGAAUUCAGUGAAUCAUCGAGUCUUUGAACGCACAUUGCGCCCCCUGGCAUUCCGGGGGGCAUGCCUGUCCGAGCGUCAUUGCUGCCCUUCAAGCCCGGCUUGUGUGUUGGGUCGUCGUCCCCUCCGGGGGACGGGCCCGAAAGGCAGCGGCGGCACCGCGUCCGGUCCUCGAGCGUAUGGGGCUUUGUCACCCGCUCGAUAAGGACCGGCCGGGCGCCAGCCGGCGUCUCCAACCUUUUUUUCUCAGGUUGACCUAGGAUCAGGUAGGGAUACCCGCUGAACUUAAGC
rnacentral:misc_RNA from 1 species